CAUGGAAACCUUCUCGUCAAGGUCGCCUUUCCAUAUGCGGGCGCGAGGAGCGGUGAAAACCCUAGCCAAUCCUCUCUCGUCCCCGCGCCUCCAUUAUCCUCCCUCCACGCUAUCCUCCCGCGCCUCCCUCAUAGCCCCGGCGCGGCGCCGCCUCCACCACCUCCUCCUCUAUCUGCUUGCCUCCUCUCUCGCUCAAGAAGGCGGACCGAGCGGCGGCGGCAUAUUGUCCGUAGAUGGAGAAGGCGGACACGAGCGGCGGCGCCAUCUUGUCCGCGGAUGGCAGACGUGUUUCUUGCCGCCGCCGCUGCUCCUCUCCCUCGCCUCCUCUGCGACGCUUCCUCCUCUUCUCUUCUCCCGCUCCAGUCAUGGCGGUGGCGGCCGGGCCAGGCAGGGCGGCGGCGGCCGGGAACGGAGAAGCGGCCGGGCUGGGAGAGCGUCCUCGUCGCCUUCAACCUCCCCACGCGAGGAUGACAUUAGUCUGCAAUUGUACUCAAUGAACGAUAGCAGUUUUGUUUGCAAAUAGGUUCAGAAAUUUGGUUUCCUGCACACAUCAUAUCAAGAGGAAAAAGUAGGGACGGUGAAGCCUUGGGUUACAUGACAAAUGCAAAAAACUUUUCAAACAGGUGUGCCUGCAAUGGAACAUUGGAUUUCAGCAAUAUUAUUGGUUCUGCAUACAAGGAUACUAUCAAAUGGAGUUGAAAUUGUAGCUGCGUUAAGUUUGGUGACAUUUGCAAAGGAUUGGUUGAAAGAACAGAGUCACAAUACAGGAAAAUAAUAGUAAAACACGCAACAAAACAUAUAUCUGGAAAAGUUUACGCCGUACUGAUGGGUUGUUCUCCUGUUUUUGACUGCAUCCUUGUGCCGUCGUUACAAGCGAUUUCCCUUCACUACAGCCCCUUUCAUGUCGUCGUUACAAGAGAUUUCACAGUUUCCCCUUGUUACCAUGUUCUCAGUUAAAAUGCAGUUGUAGUGCUCCAAAGGCUAAACCUUGAAAUCAAAUGUAAUUUUGAAGCCAUUCUUGAUUAUUUUGCCAGCUGCGGUACAUGAUCAGAACUAAGGCGACAAUGGCCAGACUAGAUAAGUUAUUCAUUCAAUGUUUUUCUACAUCCCGAUUAAUGGGCAGUUUGGAGAGCGUUGUGUAAUCUCUACUUUAAUGAACUAUAUUAUAUCGGUUAUUUUAUUCUUCCUUUUUUUAUUCAUUGGCUUUACUACUUUAUAGGCACCUACCAGAGGCUAUAAGGAAAGUGAGCUUGAAUUAUGGUGCAGGAUGUCAGUAAAAUAUGUGAAUGGAUCAAGAAUUGUGUAUGUAGAUAUUGAUGCAAGUUGGUUGCAUUUUAGAGAUUGAACAACACCUGCUUCGUGUUUGUGUAGAAAGAGGAUGGCAUACUUUGCAUAAACUUGUGUAAUAUAUCAUUGUUUUAUUUCUGGGUCAGCAUUGAUUUUUUUCUCCAUUCAAAGAAAUUGUUUGCUAAAAGGGACAAAUAACCAUCUUAUAUUUCUAGAUAAUAUUCAGAUUCAUUAAAAUAGUGGUUUCAAGUGUCGCAUUCAAUACUAGAGUAGUAAGGAUUAAGGUACAGAACUUUGUAUGUUGUGUAAGAAUAAAACCAUUUGUUUAUCUUGCCAAGUUUCAGUAUUAUUACUUAUGAUAUCAUUCUACCAAUUGAUGAUAAGACAAUUGCCUAGAAAGAGCAGCGAUAAGACAAUGUACAAAGACACAAUAUAGUUAUAUUUUGCAUUUCUAGGGGAAAUUGCUGCUCAUUGAUAUUUGUUUGAGCUUCUAAUUUCUGUUUCCCCUAGAGUAUUGUUAAUGCUUUACCUUUUAUAUUAUAUAGUUCAAGCACUCAGAAGAACUUCUCUUGUCGUAGGUCUGGUGCAUAGAUUUAAUUGACACAUUGCCAGUUUGGACAACACCUUCAAACAUUAUCUCGGAAAGAGUUCAUCUGCACAACAAGACUUGGAUGGAAAGGCCUUUCUGCCCCAGCACAACAUAACUCCUGGGGUCAUAUUCGGCCUCCCAAGGUCCUACUAGGGUUGUUCUUUCUAAGGGUGAAGCAUUGACUGUUGUGCCAAUGCCGGGCAAAAGGAAUAGCUCUCUUGAAGGACAAAAUGCUGUAACUCCUCUUCAUAUACAAGAUAGAACUUAUGACUUCAAUUCCGGUGAUAGAAAUAGCCAGAUGGAUCACGAAAACAUUGUGAAGAUGGUGAGAUAUUGCAAGGAGUCUGAUCUGUUCUGAGGAAUGCUUGUCUUUGAGUACCAGCCAAAUGGGACCCUCUACUAGCAUCUUCACGAUGGGAAAGGAUGUUAACUAUCUUGGCCAUGGCGGGCGAAGAUUGUGCUCAGCAUCACGCGCAUUCUAAGACACUUGACACUGAGCCGAUGGCUCUGUUCGCGCUCCCCGUGUUGACGGCCAGUUCAGUCUAUUAGUUAUAACAUGGCUUCUUCACUGCAGUUGACAACGAAGACUGCAGGGUGAAAACCCCACAGCAAAUUUAUUGAUUAGUAAAGUCAUAUACAAAAGAUUUGCAAAGGUUAGAGAGUCAGCUAGCUAUAACAGAGAGUCAAUCCAUAUUGCAAACUGUUGUGAGUA